AUUGAACGCUGGCGGCAGGCCUAACACAUGCAAGUCGAACGGUAGCACAGAGAGCUUGCUCUUGGGUGACGAGUGGCGGACGGGUGAGUAAUGUCUGGGAAACUGCCCGAUGGAGGGGGAUAACUACUGGAAACGGUAGCUAAUACCGCAUAACGUCUUCGGACCAAAGUGGGGGACCUUCGGGCCUCACACCAUCGGAUGUGCCCAGAUGGGAUUAGCUAGUAGGUGGGGUAACGGCUCACCUAGGCGACGAUCCCUAGCUGGUCGGAGAGGAUGAGCAGCCACACUGGAACGGAGGCACGGUCCAGACUCCUACGGGUGGCAGCAGUGGGGAAUAUUGCACAAUGGGCGCAAGCCUGAUGCAGCCAUGCCGCGUGUAUGAAGAAGGCCUUCGGGUUGUAAAGUACUUUCAGUGGGGAGGAAGGCGAUGGAGUUAAUAGCUUCGUCGAUUGACGUUACCCGCAGAAGAAGCACCGGCUAACUCCGUGCCAGCCGCCGCAGUAA
rnacentral:rRNA from 1 species